ensembl:snRNA U6 U6 spliceosomal RNA
GUGCUUGCUUAGGCAGCACAUAUACUAAAAUUGGAAGGAUACAGAGAAGAUUGGCAUGGCCCCUGUAUACAGAUGACACGCAAAACUAGAAAAUGGUAUAGCAGGGUA